ensembl:lncRNA
AUCUUAAAGCAUCAAAACAUAGCAAGAACUCAUCCGAUAAACUUGGAGAGUACUGAUCUAAUCCACUGUCCUCACAAGUGUCAAGACUGUUGGAUUCGCACCGGCUGAGGCACAGAAAACAUCUGAAGAAAAUGAAGGCCGUCAUGAUUUUCGGGCUCCUCUUCGCUGUAGUCUACUGCCGUCCUGUAAAACGCUCAGCAAGCAGCUCAGAGAGCUCUGAGGAACAGGCAGUUGCCAAACUGCCACUCCCAGUUCUUGAUAAAGGCCCUGCAGAUCCACUAAAGGCAGCACCUGCACAGGUAAAAGCCUUGUUUUACUCUCCCAGAGCUAUUUUUCUACAGUUUAACAGCUCAAGUGAGGCAUGAUAAUUGCUGCUCUUCGCUUAUGCUCCAGUGGGCGUUUCUCUUUGCUGUUUGUGUCAGGACUUGAAAGCAGCCGUAGUAGCAGCAGCAUCUGACGAGGACACUGACGAUUCAGAUGAAACUGAGGUAAAAGGCCACUCAUCCUCCUGACCACAUGAGUCACCACUGCAUUCACUUAUUUCCUAAUAAAAGCAACCCACUUCCAAAAAUAAGGCUCUUUUUGUCUGGACGCACUGUGGGUGUAUGUGUCAGUAACUCUCACUGUCUUUGACUGUUUCCUUCAUUUCCAGGACAAAAACACAGAAUCAGACACAGAGGGAGACAGUGCAGACAGCGCAGACACGCAAGACACGCAAGACACUGUGAGUCAAGCUUUACCACACAUGCUGUUAUAACACUCUCACACACAGAUGUAACUAAGGAU